rnacentral:rRNA from 1 species
UACGUAGGGGGCAAGCGUUAUCCGGAUUUACUGGGUGUAAAGGGAGCGUAGACGGCGAUGCAAGCCAGAUGUGAAAGCCCGGGGCUCAACCCCGGGACUGCAUUUGGAACUGUGUGGCUGGAGUGUCGGAGAGGCAGGCGGAAUUCCUAGUGUAGCGGUGAAAUGCGUAGAUAUUAGGAGGAACACCAGUGGCGAAGGCGAUUCUCUGGACUGUAACUGACGCUGAGGCUCGAAAGCGUGGGGAGCAAACAGG